CACGUAGGCGGAUUGGCAAGUCAGAUGUGAAAGCCCGAGGCUUAACCCCGGAAUUGCAUUUGAUACUGUCUGUCUUGAGUAUGGUAGAGGGGGAUGGAAUUCCCGGUGUAGAGGUGAAAUUCGUAGAUAUCGGGAGGAACACCAGAGGCGGAGGCGAUCCCCUGGGCCAUUACUGACGCUGAGGUGCGAAAGCGUGGAGAGCAAACAGGAUUAGAUACCCUGGUAGUC
rnacentral:rRNA from 1 species